rnacentral:lncRNA from 1 species
AAACAAGAUUGAAAUAAGUGAUAUUUUCCAUUAUGCAUUCUUUGCAAAGAAUGCAAGCUAUGGAUUAAACAAAUUAACAGAAAUCAAAGCUAACUAUUGUUCUUUAGGACUCAAUUGUUCUAGGAACAUGGUAACAGCCAUUCAUUUUAUGCUUGUUGAUUAGUAAGUUGUUCACAAAUCUUUGAACAUAUUUUAGCCUCUGCAAUUUCUUUACUAUUCUAAGUGCUGGCACAGUUCCUGAAACAAGGUAGAUGCUCCAUAUGCAACAGCUGAAUUGAACUUAUGUGAUUACAUUAGUUUUGGGUAUGCAUGCAUGUGUGUGGUCUUUGUUAACGAAAAGGUAUCUCUUUUAAAAUUCCUAGCAAAUUAUUUGAAUAUUAAUAACAUAACCCAGGCAACUGGGUAACUGUCUUAUACAGAUUGUAUGCUCCAUUACAACUGGUUAUAUUUUCCUUCACAUUGACCAUUCUAAAACUGGCAAUUUAGCAUGGCUUCUUUCUGAUAUCCACAUUCAAAAUAGAAAUUCCUGGUCCUGUGAGCAAAACGCUUAAAAAUUCUUCAAUUUCCUGUUACUUAAAUGUGUCUAGGGAAUCUCUGAAGUUGAAUAAAUGCUUUCCGAAAUCCACCUACAGUAUCAGGCUAUGGACCUCCAGAAGCACUAAAUCGGUUCUGCAGAAAUGGAGAAAAGUGAGAGCCGCCUGUACUUUGGAAUUAGAAAGGGAAACAAUGUUUUUGAAGGAACUAAAGGGAGACAGGUGCAGACCAAAUGAAUUAAGGACUCCCGGGAGUUGUGCAAGACUGAACUCUUAGAUGGGAAUUGAGGAGGUAUCCUGAAAGUCUUUUCCCUCCACAGUUCAUUGCUCAGGAAACCGAAUCCGGUCUCCCUGCUUGGGAGUGCAGGGACCGUCCAGCCCGGAAGCCAUGCUCGUGCAGCUGCCACCACCCAGGGAGAAGAACAGCUGGAAGCUUUGGUGGGCGCCCGACGAGCCGCGAGCAACUCUUCCUGUUAAUUAGCGCCAGCCAAGGCUCCAAAUGUGCCUUAUUGCAACCCCUAGCGGACUCUCAACUCGCCAAUAGUUUCUCGCUUUCCUGUCCCUGCUCUUGCGGAGAAAAAUUACAAACGUGCGUGCACACAUACACAUUUUCACACACGCCCUUCUUUCUUCA